CUGGCCCAGGUGGAGGCUGCAAUCAGCAGGAUGUCAAGUGUAAUAUUGAAGGAGAGUCACCACCUCAAAGCCUGGGGAGUGCUGGGGGAAGGGACAGGAGCUCCCCUUCUGAGCCAGGAUCAAAGCAGGACACUCACCAAGCAGGAGCUCGUGGGCUCCAAUGGCACUGCUGGAGCACCUGCCAUGGUCUACACAGAUCCCAUCACUGGGCUGCUGACUCCUUUCCCUCACUGCUCCCUCCUGCUGAGCAGUCACUGCCCUGGACCAGUUCCCAGCCACCAUUUCCUGCACCCCCAGACUGGAAAGGUGCUUCCCCUAGCUGGGAAUGUUGGCUAUGAUCCCACCAGCUCCAGGCUGGUCUGUGCUGCUGAUUCUGGCUCGGGUAAGUGUCACAAUCCAACCAUCAGCUGGUCCAACUGCCCUGUUUGUGGAGCACAGUUAUGGGGGGGGGGGGGUUUGGUUAAAGCAAAACAGAGGACAAACCAAACAGCCCAAUUUGCUGCACUCAAAUGUACUUUUCCUGAGACAGAACCUGAAGAAAAUCUGAGAAAGCUUCUCAUCAGCAUGGCCCUGGAAGGUGGUGCUGUUCAGAUAGAUGUAAGACCUACUGUAUGGAUAUAUUUGGUGUUACAAGGCUUGGAGACAAGGGAGCAUUGAGAUAUCCAUAAUUUCUUAUAGAUUUCAAUCCCUCCAUUCCUUAAACCAUAAAAAUUAAAUGCUAAGAAACUCGCAGCUUUUAGGGAAUGGCCAAAGCCAAAAGAAUUAAAUUUGAAAAGCCUUCCCACACCUCCCAUAACCACAGCCAAUCUCCCUGGUCCUGCCUGCAGGAGGGCGACACGAGCCCGGAGUGCCCGUGUUCCCCUACAUCCCUCACCCGGUCUGCCCCAGCACUGACCUGCCCGUGGAGACAAAGCUCCCAGCCCUGUGUCCCAGGAAAACCUCCAGCAUGGGAGGCCUCAUGUGGGACCCAGCGACGGGGCUGGAAGUGCCAGUGCUGGGGGUGACAAUCCACCCCGGCACGGGGCAGAGCCUGGCCGUGGGUGGCACGUACCUGAACCCCCUGACGGGCACGUUGGCACCUCUGGAGCUCUGGGGGCCCAUGGUGGAGCCAGAGGGAGGCAAGAUCGUCCCAAUCCUCGGAGUUGGUCUGGAUGGGAGCACUGGUAGGUCUUUUCCAGACACUAAUCCUUCUCUCUCUCUCUCCUGUAGUUCUGCUUUACAAUUCGUGAUGAACACAGGUGAUAAUCUGUGUCAUCCUAGGAAAGGAGAAAACAAAGAGAUUGUACAACUUCAUUGCACCCCCAUAAAGACAGAAAACAGACCAACCUUCCCUGUCCUCCUAGCCAGGAAUUAUGUCCAAACUGGGCCAGGUCAAAAAGCUGGCUGGCACCUCUUAUGGAAGAACAUAUGAAUUUAUAACUUGGCAUAGAGAUAAUAAAUUAGUCUUAGCUGUGAGAAUAAACCCAUGUAGAAUACCUGGAAUAGCAAUGUAAAAUGUAUAUGCAUGUGAUAUAAUGAACAUGUGUGGGAUGUUUGGAAUAAAUAUCAGGCUCAUGCACUGUAUCAGGGUGGCAGGCCUAGGAGAGGUUCUACCUCCUCCUGUCACCACAGCAUUGUUUGCUUUUACCAUAUAAUAAAUUCUAAUUUGAAAAGCUA